GGGGAGCGGGCGCUCGGGUUGUGGUGGCCGGAGGGGUCUGGGCCUCGAGGUCGACGCCUGUGGCUGCCGAGGCCAAAGAAUCCACCGCGGCUUGGUCGCCGGAGAGGGAGGGCUCCGCUGCCGCCGCCGCCCGGCCGGUGCCCGGGAAAAUCAGCCCAGAGAGUCAAUGGGAUUUGCCCCAGGCCUCCCACCGGGCAAGCCAGCACUAAGGACCUGGGUACUGGCGGAUGGGGAUGGUGGCUCUCCCUCUCCUGUGUAAGACUUCUAAAAGAUUGCAAAAAUAGUAUGAUGAAUUCCUGCGUACCCAUCGUCCAGUCUCUGAUUGUCAGCAUCUUACCUGAUGGCACGCAGCCUUCAAAGCCAGGAGGUCAACAUGGGUGCGGUUCUGGUAACUUGACUCUGAUUUCUCCAGCUUGUUCCCAGCAUCCUUUUUCUGUUCCGGCAUCCCAUAUUGCAUUUAGCCAUGGUCUUCUCAGUCCCCUCCAGUCUGGGACAGGUCCUCAGCCUGCCCCUGUCCUUGAUGACCUCAGCAGUUUUGAAGUGUCUUGGUCAGUUGUUUUGUAGACCAUCCCUCCAUGUGGCUUGUCUCAUUAAAGCAGGGGUGUGCAUUUUGGGCAGGAAUAUCACAGAGAGAUGACAUCGUGUCCUCUGAGGUGCAUCUCAGCAAGGAGGUUAUGGUGUUGAUGUCUUAUGGAUGGUCAAGUUGACCCUGAU